rnacentral:lncRNA from 1 species
UCAUUCUCGCCGGAGAGCCGCCUAGCGAACCUCGUUAUCGCCUCGUCAGUGAACUGCAUGACCUGUCCGGGUGUUUUUAUCCUGGUGUUGCAGUCGACGGAAGAAGAAGACGCUCUAGAUCUACGACACAGACCAUCGUGGCACCAAGGGCUGCCGUUUACAUCUGUUUACUGAGCCAGGGAAUUAGAGCAAUUCCGCAGCUGAGCCGUGAGGCACACAAGCACCCGGCUCUGCUCACCCCUGGGUGCUUGGCGGGUGGACGGGAUUCCUGCUAUCCGAGGCGCUGUCCUGCGCGCCCCUGCUCCACGGCGCCUCCUACUGUCCCACGAACCGCCAGUCCGCCGGCGCCCAGUCCGGCGCCAGGACCAGCUGUUGGGAGGGGCGUCCUGCUCGGACUCCGCCUGGACAGGCCUGGACCCCCGAGCCAGCUCCUCUUCCCAUCUCCCCUCACCAAACACGGCUUUUUUCUUUCGGCGCGUCACAGGCUCUUGGAAUCUCCUCCCACCCUGCAGCAGGCGCUGGGUUUCAGAACUCCGCCCAUCUAGGGGCCACGUUUCGCAAGGCAGGGAGCCUGGAACGCCAGUCGAACGGUCCCGGGGCAGAACUAAGAAGAGGCGCUGGCAACGGGACACGCGCAUCUGCGCAUCGUUAACCAAUUAGCAACCGAGAGCCGCCGGGCAGUCACAGGGGAGCAGCUGUUUAACGAGCACAUCAAGGACAGACAGCUGGAAGACGGUCCCUUUUUCCAAAGCUUUUGCUAGGCAUCUAUACCCCUACAGAAGGGUGUAUGUGAAACCAAAGAUCAGUGCAGAGAACACAGUCUAAUUCAGGAGGGCCUCAAUUAAUUAAUUAAUUAAUUAAUUAAUAAGCUAAAUAAGGUCAAAAAUUGAAUAAAAUGCAGGGAAAUCGUGAGCUCAGUUUUAAAAUACGAUACAGGGGAGCAGAGGUGGGCACACCUGGUCUUCGAGACCUGCAGUCCAGCACAUCGCACAGCUCGGGUCUUCUAGAGAGCACAGGCCGGGGAU